CCUACGGGUGGCAGCAGUGGGGAAUAUUGCACAAUGGGGGAAACCCUGAUGCAGCGACGCCGCGUGAGUGAAGAAGUAUUUCGGUAUGUAAAGCUCUAUCAGCAGGGAAGAAAAUGACGUUACCUGAUUAAGAAGCACCGGCUAACUACGUGCCAGCAGCCGCGGUAAUACGUAGGGGGCACGCGUUAUCCGGAUUUACGGGGUGGAAAGGGAGCGUAGACGGCAGCACAAGUCUGGAGUGAAAUGCCGGGGCUUAACCCCGGAACUGCUUUGGAAACUGUGCAGCUGGAGUGCAGGAGAGGUAAGUGGAAUUCCUGGUGUAGGAGUGAAAUGCGUAGAUAUUAGGAGGAACACCAGUGGCGAAGGCGGCUUACUGGACUGUAACUGACGUUGAGGCUCGAAAGCGUGGGGAGUAAACAGGAUUAGAUACCCGAGUAGUC
rnacentral:rRNA from 1 species